rnacentral:rRNA from 1 species
UUAAGCGACUAAGCGUACACGGUGGAUGCCCUGGCAGUCAGAGGCGAUGAAGGGCGUGCUAAUCUGCGAUAAGCGCCGGUAAGGUGAUAUGAACCGUUAUAACCGGCGAUACCCGAAUGGGGAAACCCAGUGUGACUCGUCACACUAUCAUUAACUGAAUCCAUAGGUUAAUGAGGCGAACCGGGGGAACUGAAACAUCUAAGUACCCCGAGGAAAAGAAAUCAACCGAGAUUCCCCCAGUAGCGGCGAGCGAACGGGGAGGAGCCCAGAGCCUGAAUCAGCAUGUGUGUUAGUGGAAGCGUCUGGAAAGGCGCGCGAUACAGGGUGACAGCCCCGUACACAAAAGCGCAUGUGCUGUGAGCUCGAUGAGUAGGGCGGGACACGUGGUAUCCUGUCUGAAUAUGGGGGACCAUCCUCCAAGGCUAAAUACUCCUGACUGACCGAUAGUGAACCAGUACCGUGAGGGAAAGGCGAAAAGAACCCCGGCGAGGGGAGUGAAAAAGAACCUGAAACCGUGUACGUACAAGCAGUGGGAGCACAGGUUUACCUGUGUGACUGCGUACCUUUUGUAUAAUGGGUCAGCGACUUAUAUUCUGUAGCAAGGUUAACCGCAUAGGGGAGCCGGAGGGAAACCGAGUCUUAAUUGGGCGUUAAGUUGCAGGGUAUAGACCCGAAACCCGGUGAUCUAGCCAUGGGCAGGUUGAAGGUUGGGUAACACUAACUGGAGGACCGAACCGACUAAUGUUGAAAAAUUAGCGGAUGACCUGUGGCUGGGGGUGAAAGGCCAAUCAAACCGGGAGAUAGCUGGUUCUCCCCGAAAGCUAUUUAGGUAGCGCCUCGUGAAUUCAUCUCCGGGGUAGAGCACUGUUUCGGCUAGGGGGCCAUCCCGGCUUACCAACCCGAUGCAAACUGCGAAUACCGGAGAAUGUUAUCACGGGAGACACACGGCGGGUGCUAACGUCCGUCGUGAAGAGGGAAACAACCCAGACCGCCAGCUAAGGUCCCAAAGUCAUGGUUAAGUGGGAAACGAUGUGGGAAGGCCCAGACAGCCAGGAUGUUGGCUUAGAAGCAGCCAUCAUUUAAAGAAAGCGUAAUAGCUCACUGGUCGAGUCGGCCUGCGCGGAAGAUGUAACGGGGCUAAACCAUGCACCGAAGCUGCGGCAGCGAACGUAUCACUUAAAGCGAUUCAGCGGGUUACGAUUGACGGAGCGAAGCGACGUCAAAGCGUAUACAAAGUCGAGUCGGUUUAAGGAUACGUUCGUUGGGUAGGGGAGCGUUCUGUAAGCCUGCGAAGGUGGCCUGUGAGGGUUGCUGGAGGUAUCAGAAGUGCGAAUGCUGACAUAAGUAACGAUAAAGCGGGUGAAAAGCCCGCUCGCCGGAAGACCAAGGGUUCCUGUCCAACGUUAAUCGGGGCAGGGUGAGUCGACCCCUAAGGCGAGGCCGAAAGGCGUAGUCGAUGGGAAACGGGUUAAUAUUCCCGUACUUGGUGUUACUGCGAAGGGGGGACGGAGAAGGCUAUGUUGGCCGGGCGACGGUUGUCCCGGUUUAAGCGUGUAGGUGUGUGUUCCAGGUAAAUCCGGUUCACUUUAACACUGAGGCGUGACGACGAGGCACUACGGUGCUGAAGCAACAAAUGCCCUGCUUCCAGGAAAAGCCUCUAAGCAUCAGGUAACACGAAAUCGUACCCCAAACCGACACAGGUGGUCAGGUAGAGAAUACCAAGGCGCUUGAGAGAACUCGGGUGAAGGAACUAGGCAAAAUGGUGCCGUAACUUCGGGAGAAGGCACGCUGACACGUAGGUGAAGUGAUUUACUCAUGGAGCUGAAGUCAGUCGAAGAUACCAGCUGGCUGCAACUGUUUAUUAAAAACACAGCACUGUGCAAACACGAAAGUGGACGUAUACGGUGUGACGCCUGCCCGGUGCCGGAAGGUUAAUUGAUGGGGUCAGCGCAAGCGAAGCUCCUGAUCGAAGCCCCGGUAAACGGCGGCCGUAACUAUAACGGUCCUAAGGUAGCGAAAUUCCUUGUCGGGUAAGUUCCGACCUGCACGAAUGGCGUAAUGAUGGCCAGGCUGUCUCCACCCGAGACUCAGUGAAAUUGAACUCGCUGUGAAGAUGCAGUGUACCCGCGGCAAGACGGAAAGACCCCGUGAACCUUUACUAUAGCUUGACACUGAACAUUGAGCCUUGAUGUGUAGGAUAGGUGGGAGGCUUUGAAGCGUGGACGCCAGUCUGCGUGGAGCCGACCUUGAAAUACCACCCUUUAAUGUUUGAUGUUCUAACGUGGACCCGUUACCCGGGUUGCGGACAGUGUCUGGUGGGUAGUUUGACUGGGGCGGUCUCCUCCUAAAGAGUAACGGAGGAGCACGAAGGUUGGCUAAUCCUGGUCGGACAUCAGGAGGUUAGUGCAAUGGCAUAAGCCAGCUUGACUGCGAGCGUGACGGCGCGAGCAGGUGCGAAAGCAGGUCAUAGUGAUCCGGUGGUUCUGAAUGGAAGGGCCAUCGCUCAACGGAUAAAAGGUACUCCGGGGAUAACAGGCUGAUACCGCCCAAGAGUUCAUAUCGACGGCGGUGUUUGGCACCUCGAUGUCGGCUCAUCACAUCCUGGGGCUGAAGUAGGUCCCAAGGGUAUGGCUGUUCGCCAUUUAAAGUGGUACGCGAGCUGGGUUUAGAACGUCGUGAGACAGUUCGGUCCCUAUCUGCCGUGGGCGCUGGAGAACUGAGGGGGGCUGCUCCUAGUACGAGAGGACCGGAGUGGACGCAUCACUGGUGUUCGGGUUGUCAUGCCAAUGGCACUGCCCGGUAGCUAAAUGCGGAAGAGAUAAGUGCUGAAAGCAUCUAAGCACGAAACUUGCCCGAGAUGAGUUCUCCCUGAGACUUAGAGUCUCCUGAAGGAACGUUGAAGACGACGACGUUGAUAGGCCGGGUGUGUAAGCGCAGCGAUGCGUUGAGCUAACCGGUACUAAUGAACCGUGAGGCUUAACCUU